rnacentral:lncRNA from 1 species
AAAGGACACUGGCUUUCUAACCUAAUUGUGAAUUAAAAUCUGAGAUCUCGCCACCAACUGGAUGAGUUGGAGUUCUUAGGCGGUGGAAUGAAGACAAGCAGAGGAAGGAGAUCAAAGAGUGUGCAUCAUCUCAUAAGAGCCCUUUGUUCAGCACUGAAACCUGAGAGCUUCAUAGACCAAAGAGAUAAUGAAGGGUUGAUGAUGAUGUUCAGAGAAAGCUCCGUGAUUGAGGAAGCAAGAAUCAGCCAGGGUCCAGAGAUUCAGAGAGCUGCCAUGCCUUUACUACAUGUGAGGACAAAGCUAGAAGACACCACCUAGAACCAGAAAGAGAUCUGCAACAGACACUGAAUCUGCUGGCACUUGAUCUUGGACUUCCCAGCCUCCAGAACUAUUUCCAAUUUGCUUUCUGCUCAAUUCUCUGACAAACAAGGCCACUUGGAAUGGAACCUGUAGUGAUAACAUCAUUAUUGUCAUCAUCAUCACCACCACCACUGAAUAUUUUUAUUAUUGUCAUCAUUACUAUUGUUAUUUAGCCCAGGAAUUAGCACUGCAAAAGGUUCAUUCUAAAAUGAUAACCAGUCCACGAGGUAGGUAGAAAUGCCAGGACUCUGAAAUGCACAGUUUGAAGCACUGUAUUAUAGGUUAGGUCUUAGCAAUCUACAGCUUAACCAUAAGGCUAUACCUAGGAACUUAAGCUGUCUGAAGGCAGAGUACACUUUGCGGUGGGCAUAUAGAGGCCUUCGUUCUUAUUCCUGCUCAAUAAUAAAAUGUGUGCAUGCUCUACAAAUCCUGAUUUCCUC